rnacentral:misc_RNA from 1 species
CGACGACGUCUCCUCCACGCCUCUUCAGUUGAUGGCUCGGGCUUGUCUCGGCCGAUGUCGGUUUUCCUGUGCUGAAUACCUACCAUGAGGGCAAUGUGUUGGCUAUAAAUGUUUGUUUCCCGCCUUGUGCUGUCUCCCCAGUUGGGGUGGCGGUGUGGGGUGGGCCAAAUCGCGUUCGUCGYGUGYCGCACCUUGUUUGCUCUUACCGGCAAUCGGGUUGACGACCCUUGACGUUAUGCUCGAUUUCUUGGGUACGGUUUAUGCUGUGGGUACGAGGUCAUUGGCCUCYGAGCUCCACAAACAAGCGUUCUACGCUUCGURCGAACGACUGUUGGUUCGGUGGUUGGCCGUUCUCUUGUAGCUCGGUUCAAGCUGUGCC